UUCACUAUUUCUCAAAGGAGAGAAAACCAAAGCUUUUUCUCACAAAAUAAAGAAAUUUGUUUAUUUAUCCCGUAUAAGGAAACGAACAAAAAUUGAGAGUGAAAAAAAAACCUAAAAAUAUUCUUUCUCCAUCGCGAUGGUUCAUUCAUCCGUCUCUUUUCUUCCCGGUCCUUUCUUCUUCUCGAUUAAAUAACCAAAUCCAGUUUUGUAUUGGUAAACCCCAACUCUUUUUCUGUCUCUUUAUUUCUCUGAAUCCAUAAGCCCUAACCCUUCCGUUUUAUAUUGCAGUUACGAUUUUUCUUUCCUCCUGAUUUUUCUUUAUUUUACUCUGAAUCAAACAAAUUUUCCAAUCCUCAUCAAUCGCUUUUCACUUCAAUCAAAAUCACUGAUUUUUCAGAGAUAAUGUUUAGGUCUGCGAUUUUGGGACUUCUGUUUACAGGAAGCAGAAAUAUGUAUCUCCUAUUACAAUUAGGUUUACUCAGAUUUUGGCGUCUAAGAAACCAACUAUUCAUAAGGUUGGUAAAUUUGAUUUGAAACUAGAAAAUCAGAACGCUGAACUAAUAACGUGGCCACAAAAAAGGUCUAAAUUGUCAAUUAGAAGAUGAAUGUAGAGAACUAUUAGAAAAUUAGGACUACGAAGUUCAAGCCUUCAAGGAAGAAAGGCAAAGGGCUUUCUGCAAGUGCAGUGCAAAGCAAAUGGCACACCAAAAAAGGACCAAUAAGUGAUAUGAAAAAAGUUUUUUGCAAGUCAAGUCCAUGACAUGGGUUCUUUUCUGUGUCAUGUCCUACUGUUGGAAGCUGUAGUCAUAAAUCUAGAGGUGGAUUUGGUCUUUUUUGAAGAAAAUAUGGUGUUGCUGCUGGUUAUGUUAUUCCCGCAAUUCUCACAUUCAUUUUCCUUCUCCUGUUGUUCUGUUGUUUUAUAGGGUUACGAUAUGCCAAUCUAUGAUGUGCACA